rnacentral:pre_miRNA from 1 species
UUAGGUCAUAUUUGUAUGGAAUGGGAUCGUUUGCGCACGUUUGCCGCUAGGGGCGUUGUUCCAAUUGCAUACAAAAUUGGCUUA